UACGUAGGGUGCGAGCGUGAAUCGGAAUUACUGGGCGUAAAGUGUGCGCAGGCGGUCGAGCAAGUCGAGUGUGAAAGCCCCGAGCUUAACUUGGGAACUGCGCUCGAAACUACUUGGCUAGAGUGUGGCAGAGGGAGGUGGAAUUCCACGUGCAGCAGUGAAAUGCGUAGAGAUGCGGAGGAACACCGAUGGCGAAGGCAGCCCCCUGGGCUAGCACUGACGCUCAGGCACGAAAGCGUGGGGAGCAAACAGG
rnacentral:rRNA from 1 species